UACGUAGGUGGCAAGCGUUGUCCGGAAUUAUUGGGCGUAAAGCGCGCGCAGGCGGUCCUUUAAGUCUGAUGUGAAAUCUUGCGGCUCAACCGCAAGCGGUCAUUGGAAACUGGGGGACUUGAGUACAGAAGAGGAAAGCGGAAUUCCACGUGUAGCGGUGAAAUGCGUAGAGAUUUGGAGGAACACCAGUGGCGAAGGCGACUUUCUGGUCUGUAACUGACGCUGAGGCGCGAAAGCGUGGGGAGCAAACAGG
rnacentral:rRNA from 1 species